AGGACGAACGCUGGCGGCGUGCUUAACACAUGCAAGUCGAGCGAGGCCCUUCCUUCGGGAGGGUGCCCUAGCGGCGAACGGGUGAGUAACACGUGGGCAACCUGCCUCUAGCACUGGGAUAACUCCGGGAAACCGGGGCUAAUACCGGAUAUGACCUCCGAGGGCAUCCUUGGUGGUGUAAAGGACUCUGGCUAGAGAUGGGCCCGCGGCCUAUCAGCUUGUUGGUGGGGUAACGGCCUACCAAGGCGACGACGGGUA
rnacentral:rRNA from 1 species